rnacentral:rRNA from 1 species
UACGUAGGGUGCAAGCGUUAUCCGGAAUUAUUGGGCGUAAAGAGCUCGUAGGCGGUCUGUCGCGUCUGCUGUGAAAUCUGGGGGCUCAACCCCCAGCCUGCAGUGGGUACGGGCAUGACUGGAGUUCGGCAGGGGAGACUGGAAUUCCUGGUGUAGCGGUGAAAUGCGCAGAUAUCAGGAGGAACACCGGUGGCGAAGGCGGGUCUCUGGGCCGAUACUGACGCUGAGGAGCGAAAGCGUGGGGAGCGAACAGG